rnacentral:lncRNA from 1 species
UGUACACCAGACAUGAGAUGUGAACAUGAUGCUGAAAAUAUUUUAUCUUCACUUUUAAUGUAACUAAGUACUGAUUAUACUGAUGUUUUAUGGAUUGAUUUUAUCUGCCAAUUAAAAUUGUUUCCGUCAUUAUUAACACAGAUUCUUUUGUGCUUUUCGUAUCACAGGAAGAAGUGUACACCACUUUAAUGGCGCUGAGCAACAGUCGUGCCCCAGAGAAGCACCAGCUGGAGCAUCGGUUACUGUGCGUCUUCUUGGGCAAAUUUUCCGUUAGCUUGGUUAAACUGGUGAUGGAAGUCGUAGUGUCCGCCGCUCCCGUCCUCGGCUUCCUGCCUCUGGCCAACAGGGUUUGUAUCGAGCUGCCCAAAGUCAGUGAUGUGGCCAAAGUGAGGCAGAAAUUCUGCAGCUACAACCCAGAAGACCGGAAGCAGAAGAUUCUCUGGAAAUGUGUCCUGACUUUGGAGACUGCGGCUGAUGUGGAACGGCGCGUAAAGAGGGCUCAAAAUGACAUUGUUUGCCUUGAAUCACCUUUCGACAAAUCGUUCAUGAGCAAAGAACAAAGGUCUCAUUACCACAUCUACUUGGGCAGAGAGGAGCAGAAUUGGCAGCGGGAGUGGGACAGAGCCAAUUCAUCCUCUGCUCGAUUUCGCAUGUCGUCUUCAAGAGAAUCAACGGCAUCUUCUACUUCUUCGUUUCUACUCAGAGUAGAAACGUUUACAGAAGACGUUCUCCUUCAUCUUCCCCUAGAAAACCCAGCGAGUCAUCUAAAUUUACAAAAUAUCACUCCAGCGCGUCUUCGAGUAAUAGCCGAUCCUCCUCUUCUCGCGAUAAGCAUUCGGAAAAGCCCAAGGACAGACCAAAGGAGAGCAACCCGGCAAAGUCUGGGCACGAGGGUUCGGGCAAAAGUUCUUCUAAAACACAAGAAAAGAAAGUAG